rnacentral:lncRNA from 1 species
CCUUGAUUUUUUUUCUACGGCCACCGCUCACCGCCGGUGAAGAUCCCAGCCGUCGUUCUUAUCUUCUCCCAGCCGCUCUUCCCUAUCCCCUCCGCGCGAUCCUCCCCUGCUCCCUGAUUUCUCCAGCCCGUGGAGCUUUUGCUAUGCGCUCCCUCCCUGCUCCGGUCUUCUCCAUAGCCGAGCGCCCGACGUUCUCCCUGGUGCUCGCCCAAGUCACCGUUGCAGCUCUAGCUCGGAUUCCCCUUCCCAUGGCGGCGCCCACCUCCCUGUGCUCCCUGUUCCAGCUCGUCGGGGAUGCCCCUUCCUCCAGCCGUGUUCUGCUUCUCUCCCUGCGCCCCUAUUCAUCUCCUGCGCGCCUUGGUUUUGGUCCCAAGCUCCAUGGCCGCCGCGCUGCAGCUCUCUGGUGCUCGGUCGCCAAGUCUCCCUGCUCUAUGCGUUCUUCUUCCUCCCUGGCUCCUGCUCGUCCAACGACGCCGUCGGCCGGACCUCUCUGCUUCUCCUGCGCCCGCGUCGUGGCUCUCCACUGCGCGUAGUGGUGCUUCAGUUCUGCUCUGUCCAUUUUCCUGUGCCGCGCCACUGCAGCUCGCCUCGGCUCCUCGCCUCAUCCAUGGCCGAGCGCCCUCUGCCCAGCCUGUCGAAGCUCCUCUGCCGGCUGCAAGCUCCUGCUCAAGCUUGCUCUCGGCGCUCGCCCCUGAUUUCUGCGCUCAGCUCCACCGCGACGUGAAGUCCCUGCGCGCAAGCUAUCUGUUGGCCGCGCGCGAACUCCUCUGCUUGGCCCGUCGUCGUUCUCCAGCGCACUCGAUGGUUUCGUCGUCUCGUCUUGAUGUCAGUCCCUACGUGACAUCUAUGACGUGGGUUCACGCCGACAAAAGAAUCCCAAGAAGAUAUAGAGAAGCAAGCCUUUGAUCAAUGUUCAAGUGGUCGGCGAAAGGCCAGAACAAGAAUCAUCACCGUUUAUACGGAGUUCUACUUAAUAUGAAAAGAUUCCAAGAAUUGUGGAUAGAAGAGAAAGUGAAGCUUCGUGCUAUACUCGUCAGCUGCUCGAUCGAAUACUUCAAUCGAAGACUAUCGUCGUUCCCGCCAACACUGAAUCAAGUUGAUAACGGUGAGCCAAAUCACUAUUUUUACUAUGGAUUUUAUGAUCGUGAAAUAAGAUGCUUAGUUUGCGUAGGAAGUUAAAAUUAGAAAUACCCGUGAGGCGAGGUGUGCUUCGAGGGGUUUAGUGGCCGAAUAUAUUCGAACUAGUUCUAUUUUGUAGAAUAUAGUAUUUUAGUGACGCGUAGGUUAAGUUCAGGAUUUUAUGCUUUUGUCGAUAGCGCUAUCAAUGCUAAUGGUGUUCAAUGCACGUAGGCGGAAGUCGAUGUCCUGCGCUAGUAGUUAGUAUCGUCUAGGUUUGUGGUCGAUAAUGUUGAAGUAGGAGAUGAUCGACAGUUUUCUUAUCCAGUGAUUGGUGUGAUGAUAUGUUGUUUAAAAUAUGCUUGGUAAAAAUAUAUUUAGUAAUAUGAUUCUGUUAAUAAAUCAUAAAAGAAAGUAGAGCGUGAAUAAAUAUAUAUACUAUUGUUUUGUGGUAUAUAAAAUACCUUUGAAUAGGCUAGAGAAGCGUAAUUAUUGCGCUUAGUCGUGCAUCGAUAAUUAGUGCCUCCGUAUGAAAUUGUUCCGCUAGGUAUUUAAUUCGCUAUCGCGUAGCAGUGUUUAGGCUUGUGGUAUUCCUGUCGAUAUGCAUUCAUGUGCAUAAUGCAUUCCAUUCAGGUACGUUAACUAAUCGCGUGAUGCAGAAGACGACCCAAGUCGACCCCAAGCGCGGGCUACUCCGCAGGAUGGUGCUGAUGGACGAAUCGGAAGAUGGAUAAUCUAAAUGAGUGCCAAGCCAAAGGAUGCUCAUCAAGUGGACGUCGUCUAAUAACACUAACCUAGUGUUAUUCAGGCAAGCCCCGGUGCAUUUGCCACCUCCUUGCUAUUUUAAAAAUCUUUUUCACUUGCUUGAUGCUUUAGGUGAUAGGAGUUGAUUGCUAAAACAAUUCCUGCAUUACCUUCCUUGAAUUUGAUUACCUUCCUUGAAAUCCCUGUUUUACAAAAAGAAUUUUGAUGCUUAGCUUUGCUUUAGAAAAACAAAAUGUUUUGUUUUUACAAAAGAUGAUGUGGCAAAAGUGGGUGGGAUGUUUUCGAAAAUAAAACUUGAUGGUGGAUCCAUCAUGGCCAUGAUGGAUUUAACAUCGGAAAAGAUGUACCUCUGCCAGGUACCAAACUUUGGGUUUAAAUUAUAAAGCUGAGACCGGGCGGGUGACUUGCACGAGAAAGGAGUCUCGGUGUAGUGUCUCCGUCUGAGUCGUUUAAGGACCGUACCGAUUGUUGGCCUGCUGAUCUAGGACCCUUUAUCUGGCCACAUACCUCAUCAUGGGUAAGCCUGAACCCGGCUAUUCCAUACAUGAAAAGACAAUCGCGCACUGGGAGUGGAGAGAUGGCGAGAGUGGCACGUACCCUCCUGGCAAAGGACCGCCUAAAAGGGGUGGUGUGCUCUCGGGUGGCGCGGACCUGUUCAUGUGGUGGAGGAUCCGUGGGAAUGGUAGACAUGUGCAAAAGAGUUAAGAGAAGCAUAUGUCGUGUGGUUGGAGAUCCCCAGCUGGGUAUUAAUCGAUUCGGAUCGCCGAACUUCUCGGAUAUGAAGACUAGAUCUUCGACCCUCAUCGUAGAUAACAAGCGAAACAAAGGUUGGAUUUUAAAAGAAAGCUAGUGUAGGACAAGUGAAUGCUCUAGAUUAGGCAAAUCUAGAUUCAGGAAAAGUACUUAACUUGUGAUGUAAAAUUUUGGCUUAAGGACCCACUUCUAGUAAGCUUUUCUGCAAAAGAGUCUUUGAUUCUUGAUAAGCCAUACCUUGAAUCCCUCUAGCCAGCAUACCCUUGAGAGUCUUUUCUUUAGUUGGGUAAGUCUUGCUGAGUAAUUCUGUACUCAGGGUUUUAUUCCCUGUUGUUUUUCAGGUUAUAGUUUUGUGCUGCUGAUGAUGGUGUUAAGUGCCGGUGGGCUCGACCUUCUUAUAAGUCUAAGUAACUCUUCUAUACUUCUUAUCGAGGAUGGUCACUUGAGCUAGCAUAUAUUUCAAAAUUAUAAAUAAUUUAUAACAUUUCAAAGUUUAUUCUUUGAACCACUUAUGUAAUCGCUCCGAUAAAUAUAAUGUAAAACUUGAUGUAACUUCUAAAAUUUGGUAAAAAGAUUUCCGCUGCAAAAUGUUGGUGUGUGAUUUGUGUUUACUUAAUCUUGUGAUCCUGGUUGUUCGUGGUUUAUCCGGGGUCCCUGGGACACUCGGACAGAUCCUAUUAAGUUAUCUGGUGCACAUGCAUAGCCGUCUGAGGUCUUUGAGACAAGGGCAGGUGCAUGUGGGCCCAAUAACUUGGGAGGUUCUGCCACAGCUGGUAUCGGAGCAGGAUUAAGUAUCUACAGUCACAUACGUAUUUUCAAAACAAAGGUCUUGGUUUUAGAAAACCUAUUUUCAACUAAACACAUUAUUUGGCUUUGAAAAACAGUUUUAAAAAAACUAUAAUGCUAGCGACAUCCUCUAUUAAGCCCUGAGUUAAGGACUAUCAGGUGGCUUAUUUAAAAACAUAACCCACAACCGGGUGGAUAUUGCAUACAUGUUUAAUGUUAUUUUUGAGGCCAUUCAGUCUUGAAUGGAUCGACGCUCAGGUAAGGUGAGACCGUGAGAUGUGAGAGCAUGACCGAGCAAACGUCGGUCUAGGGGAGUGCUUAAUUGUGGCGCUUGACUAUAUACAUGUUCCAUAUAUGUAUAUAUGAAGGCUGCGAGGUGGAGUAAUUACUUUUUCUGGGAAUUCGGUACCCCAUGGAUGUGUAUGGGUAUACAGACAUGGGAAUACUGAGAAGUGUAAUGUACUUGUAACGACGCACCUACGUUCAGGUAAGAAGGUGAGUUACCAUAAUGGGUUGCCCUAUGGUUAAAGUGUGGCAACGGCGCCUAUGCGUGGCUCGGCGCUUAAUGAUGAGCUAGCCUCCAUAUAGCAAUAUAUGGAGUAUAAACUGUGAUAAACUGUCAUGUGUGAACUGCAUCAUUGGGAAUUGGGCUGUGAUGGAUUUUUCUGCAGGUACACUAACCUCGAAAACGUAUGUGUAGUUGACGACUAGCAAAAUACCGUGAGAAUCGUACAUAUGCCACCGAUAUAGAACGUUAUUGCCACAUUAUGUUGGCAAAAACUCAGUGAGGACGGAUAAGACGAGCAUGCAUCCUGAUUGUUGCAUUAUGUUUGUCACCUAUACACCCAAAAUGCUUCUCUCAUCUUUAUUCCAGUAACCAUUGAUUGUAGAUAAUAUGGUGUAAUGCUAAAUUAUGAACUUCGAUGAAAUAGGUGUCCUCCAUUCUUUAGGUGACCUCUUAAAGUGCUCUAUGUGUGCUCUUUUGUUGAUGUGCCGAUAGAGGGUUAGUAGUUUGGUUGCUUAAACCCAAAAUUAGGCCAUGUUCUUAGUUGGUGAACCGAGACCCAAAUUUGAAUUUACCAUUAUCACUCUGUGACCAAGCCCAUACAAAUAAAUGCUUGAUAAUUUCUUUGUUGGACAUAAGUUGCAUUCGGACUCCAAAUAAGGAUCUUGGCAAUUAACUUGUCACUCCCUUAGUGGUCAUGUCUCCAUCCUAGACCAUGCCCUUAUUCGAUUUGUGCAAGCUGAUGUCUCUAUUCCAGUUUGCCUGUUCUUAAGGAUCGCCAUGUUGCUUUUUCAACCUAACUCAGGAAAGACCUGUUCGAUCAUUUCAUUGAAUUUGAUGCCUUUGGUUUCCCCAUACCUAUCGAAGGCAUACCAACUUAAUCCUUGACCUUGUAAUCUCUAUGAUGGGCAUAGAAAUAUGCUUGGGGCUGAAUUAACAGUCUCCUGUCGUACUCCUUUCAUCAAAUUUAGGUUAUGGCGUGUUUUGUUCAUUUCAUCGGGCCAUGAUCUGUUUGGCUCUCUACUUGUAACCAUCCUUACAGGUGGAGUAUCUCUUUGUAUAUUAUCACCCUUGCCCAAUUCAUUUGUGUCGCGUGAGAUUUCUUAUUGAUUAUGUCUAAUAAUGGUGUUAUGACUAAAACCAGUGGUGCCUGACGAAACCGAGGGCCUUCUGUGUGUGCGCACAUGGUUGCGCUACUCGGCACACGCUAGUAUCACAGUUAGUAGUCAUAAUCCAUUAUGAGAUUAUAUCAAUAUGUUAUCUUUCGUAGACUUCCUCCUUGAAACAAUUUCUAUGUUAUCUGUCAAGUGAUCAAGCAACAUCUGUCAUCUUCGUUGGAUCAAAAGGGCAUACCACUUUCAUGUGUGGUCUUAUUUCUUUUGAUCUUGGUAGUGACUACUCAUGCAAGUUCCCUUUACGUCCUUUGUGUAAAGGUGAAGCCUUGGAGCUUUUUAGUGUCGAGAGACAAUUGAUUAGCUCUCAAAAUGGAGAUUGUAUUUUCCCUGCUGUUGAGAUGCAGGAGUUUGUUCAUUCGCUCUCCUAUUUAAUCCAUGUAUUCCCUAACCAAGUGGAUAAUGCGUCUCGCAUGAAGAAACGGAUGAACAACCUGACCAAAUGGAUUUCUACCCAAAUGCAUGACCCUUUGCUUGCAAAUGUGAGCUCUCGACCGUUGGCUUACCGAUGGUACUGAGAGGACUUGCUCAAUGUCAAAAGUAGUUCAACAAGUUGGUUUUGACUAACUUGUAACUGCUCAAUGAACAAAGAUUGAGUUUAGAGAUCGUUUUAUCGAUUUGCCUAAACUCAUUUUGGUUCAACCCAUACUGAGAAAGUACUUAUAAAAAUCAAGAUUAAGUCGGCCAAUAGCCACCUAGUCAUCGCUCUAGUCGUGCCUCGAUCGCCGCACAUGUGCUUUUCCAGCAUGAGUGCUUGGGUCAAGUCAUGCCUAGUGCUUGAUAAAAUGAAUUGGUCGUGAAGUCAACAUCAACGGAUCUCUUCGUUGAUAUCUUCCGAGUCUUUAUCAUUUUUCGUGGACUUGGAUUCUCUGGCUAACACGAGCUGACUGUGAUGUUGUUCGACAUCUGCACUCGUCUCGUGUGUUAUGAGCUUACCGUAAUCACUUGUUGGUAAACCUCUUUCUGUGGGUUUUACCCAAGAGGUUGCAACUGAUUUUGUUUGGGUAAAAUCGCGUAUUUGUCGCUCGCCCAACAGACUCAGAUAGUACAGUGUUAUCAGAAAAAGCAAACUGCAUUCAUGGAACCUUAAAUGUUCUUCUGGCAGACAUUGUCUCUACUAAUGGACAUCUCUAAAUUAGCCUAAGGCGAUACAUGAUAUGUCCACUAGAGAAACCAUAUUCUGAGACACUCGUCCUUGCUUGGAACUGCCUUAUGAUUAUCGCUGAUAUGGACAUGGGUUACAUGCUUCUCUACUCUUAGAAAUCUUUCGUUUCGAAUCUCGGGACGAGAUUCUUUUAAGGGGGAGGGUUGUAACACCCCAGGUGUUUAUAUUCCGCUCGACAACGCGUACAGAUUUAAGCACGUUAUAUCAGUGGAUAAAACAGAUGCUAAACUCUAAACAUCUUCGCCUCUCGCGAUUUUAAUAUCGCAUCUGUUUCGUCGGUUGCGAGUUCGACACCGUUUUUAUUUAUCCGGACUCUUUCGAAAUUUUAAUUUUUAGAACCAUGGUAUUUUGGCAGGCGUUUUUGCGUGAGAGAAAAUAACGAAAAUAGGAGUGAAAAUAUCCUCUCUCUCUCUCUCUCUCUCUACCGCUAUUCUCUCUUCUCUGAAUUUUUUCCAGCCAUCCUUAUCUCCUACGCGUCAUCGUUCUCAUCCUGCCUUGAUUUUUUUUCUACGGCCACCGCUCACCGCCGGUGAAGAUCCCAGCCGUCGUUCUUAUCUUCUCCCAGCCGCUCUUCCCUAUCCCCUCCGCGCGAUCCUCCCCUGCUCCCUGAUUUCUCCAGCCCGUGGAGCUUUUGCUAUGCGCUCCCUCCCUGCUCCGGUCUUCUCCAUAGCCGAGCGCCCGACGUUCUCCCUGGUGCUCGCCCAAGUCACCGUUGCAGCUCCAGCUCGGAUUCCCCUUCCCAUGGCGGCGCCCACCUCCCUGUGCUCCCUGUUCCAGCUCGUCGGGGAUGCCCCUUCCAGCCGUGUUCUGCUUCUCUCCCUGCGCCCCUAUUCAUCUCCUGCGCGCCUUGGUUUUGGUCCCAAGCUCCAUGGCCGCCGCGCUGCAGCUCUCUGGUGCUCGGUCGCCAAGUCUCCCUGCUCUAUGUGUUCUUCUUCCUCCCUGGCUCCUGCUCGUCCAACGACGCCGUCGGCCGGACCUCUCUGCUUCUCCUGCGCCCGCGUCGUGGCUCUCCACUGCGCGUAGUGGUGCUUCAGUUCUGCUCUGUCCAUUUUCCUGUGCCGCGCCACUGCAGCUCGCCUCGGCUCCUCGCCUCAUCCAUGGUCGAGCGCCCUCUGCCCAGCCUGUCGAAGCUCCUCUGCCGGCUGCAAGCUUCUGCUCAAGCUUGCUCUCGGCGCUCGCCCCUGAUUUCUGCGCUCAGCUCCACCGCGACGUGAAGUCCCUGCGCGCAAGCUAUCUGUUGGCCGCGCGCGAACUCCUCUGCUUGGCCCGUCGUCGUUCUCCAGCGCACUCGAUGGUUUCGUCGUCUCGUCUUGACGUCAGUCUCUACGUGACAUCUCUGACGUGGGUUCACGCCGACAAAAGAAUCCCAAGAAGAUAUAGAGAAGCAAGCCUUUGAUCAAUGUUCAAGUGGUCGGCGAAAGGCCAGAACAAGAAUCAUCACCGUUUAUACGGAGUUCUACUUAAUAUGAAAAGAUUCCAAGAAUUGUGGAUAGAAGAGAAAGUGAAGCUUCGUGCUAUACUCGUCAGCUGCUCGAUCGAAGACUUCAAUCGAAGACUAUCGUCGUUCCCGCCAACACUGAAUCAAGUUGAUAACGGUGAGCCAAAUCACUAUUUUUACUAUGGAUUUUAUGAUCGUGAAAUAAGACGCUUAGUUUGCGUAGGAAGUUAAAAUUAGAAAUACCCGUGAGGCGAGGUGUGCUUCGAGGGGUUUAGUGGCCGAAUAUAUUCGAACUAGUUCUAUUUUGUAGAAUAUAGUAUUUUAGUGACGCGUAGGUUAAGUUCAGGAUUUUAUGCUUUUGUCGAUAGCGCUAUCAAUGCUAAUGGUGUUCAAUGCACGUAGGCUGAAGUCGAUGUCCUGCGCUAGUAGUUAGUAUCGUCUAGGUUUGUGAUCGAUAAUGUUGAAGUAGGAGAUGAUCGACGGUUUUCUUAUCCAGUGAUUGGUGUGAUGAUAUGUUGUUUAAAAUAUGCUUGGUAAAAAUAUAUUUAGUAAUAUGAUUCUGUUAAUAAAUCAUAAAAGAAAGUAGA